ACGUAGGGGGCAAGCGUUGCUCGGAAUUACUGGGCGUAAAGGGUGUGUAGGUGGCUGAUUAAGUUAAGGAUGAAAUCCCGAGACUCAACUUCGGAACUGUCCUUGAUACUGGUCAGCUUGAGGCUAGUAAAGGAGAGCGGAAUUCCCGGUGAGGCGGUUAAAUAGGUAGAUAUCUGAAGGAAGACCAGAAGGGUAGGCGAUUCACCAGGAUAGGCCCGACUCUGAUACAUGAAAGCUAUGGGAUCAAACAG
rnacentral:rRNA from 1 species